UUUGUAUCAAUUGGUUGUACCUGAUUUAAUUUGGCCCGUACUAAAAUGUCUUUUAAAUUUUUACUUUUUCUAUAGGCUAAAAUAAUUUGGUGGUUUUCCAAUAACCCUGGAUCUCCAAUUAAGUGUUUGUAAUUAUUUUUAAUCUGUCUAUUUAUAAUUUUAGUCACUGUCGAAUAUUGGGUAAUUAAGGGAAUAAUUUUUUUGUUUGUAAUUUUUGUUUUUGUUUCUUUAAAUGAUUUUAGACAUUGCCUCAAAAAUGAUCUGGAAUAACCCCUCUUUCUUAAUGGUACAAAUAGAAUUUUUACAGCUUCCCAAAAAUCCUUUUGUUGUGUACAAAUUCGAUGAAAACGUAAUAACUGUGAUUUAACUAGACCUUUGAAGGUGUGCUUUGGAUGAAAACUGGUUUUGAACAGUAAGGCGUGAGUAUCUGUUUUUUUGAAAAAUACUUUGAUGUCUAAACUACCAUCUAAAGAAAACGAUGACCCCUUGUAUACUGUCGUAUCCAAGAAAUCAAUUUUAUCUUCAUGGAUUUCAUAUUUUAAUUGUAUUGAGGGAUCAUGACCAUUUAAAAUUUGCAUGAAUUCCUCGAAUUCUGCACGGGAAUAACACCAAAUUCCCCAAAUAUCAUCCAGAUAUCUGAGGUAAUGAAGAGGUUUCUUUUGGCAUUUUGCCAAGACUUCCUUCUCCCAAUUUGCCAUAAAAAUAUUUGCAUAAGCUGGGGCGAAUUUUUUACCCAUUGCUGUUCCCUUAAUUUGUAAAUAAAACUCCUCGUUGAAAACAAAAUCAUUCCUAGUCAAAUUAAUAUCUAAUAAUUUAAUUAAUUCUUCAUCUGGCCUAUCAUUAUCUGGGUGGUCUCUGAAAAUAUUUUUUACUGUUUCUAUUCCUGCCUGUAUGUCUAUAUUUGUGUAUAAGCUAUCUACAUCUAAACUAAAGAAUAAUGAGUUUUGUGGGAUCCUCAAUUGUUUGAUGAUGUCAAUGAAAUGAUAUGUAUCCUUUACAUAUGAAGCAUGGAGCAUGGACAAGGGAUUUAAAUAAUGAUCAAUAAAUUCUGCCGUAUGGUAGGUUUCACUCCCACAAUCUGAAACAAUUGGUCUGCCUGGGGGUAUUUCAAAUGGUACUGUCCAUUUCUCUGGAUCUUUAUGAACUUUUGGCAGAAUAUAAAAUCGUCUUUCCCGAGGUUCUCCUUCACCCUUGAGGUACUGUGCCUGUUUUUUUUAUUAAUGUAUUUCUUGGUUUUUAAAGUGUCGAUGAUAUCAUGGACGAUUGGAACUGUUUUCAAAUAAAGUGGCUCUGUUAAUUUUUUAUAAUAUUUUUUAUCAUUUAAUUGGCGCCAAACUUCUGUGACAUAUUGAUCUCGUCCCAUGAUCACAACUACACUUCCUUUAUCUGCAGGUUUAAUAAUUAUUUCUUUGUUGUUCCUUAACUCUCUAAGUGCCUUUAUUUCUUGUUGUGUCAAAUUUGAUUUUUCCAAAUAGAAUUUAAAAUAAUUUUUAAGGUCCUGAUUGUCUUUAUGAAUUAAUGUGUGGAUUUCCUCUGGUAAUUUUUCUAAGGGUGGGGUCCAAAUUGAUGUCGGUGUAAAUGGUUUAAUUGUACUUAUUUUGUCAUCAUUAAAAUAUGUUGCUAAUUUUAAUCGUCUGUGAUAAUUUUGAAUGUCCAAUUUUAAUUGAUUUUUUUGAUGUUUUCUCGAAUCUAAGGUAGGAAUGAAGGUGAGUCCUCGAUUUAAAAGAUCUAAUUGGGCUUCGGUGGGAGUGAAUGUUUUUGUCAAUAUGAUGACAUUUUGUGACGAAAGGGGCUGUAGCCCCUCGUGCCCCUCCGUCUCCUGGCUUAAGGGGCUUUCAAGUUUAAAUGGCUGACCCAGUGGUCAAACAUUGAUUUAGCUGUUGUUCUUGUCCAAUGUAUGUGGUCUACCUCUGUCAGAAAUUUGUCUCUUUCAAGAGACUCGAUAUACGGCAUGUUCCUGAAUAUGUAGGCGUUCAGCAGUUGCAGAUUUAAUUUUUCCUGGGUCGGUAGGAAUGCAGAGUAGUUAAUUUUUGGGAUCCAGAUUUCUGCGUAUGGGAAUUUGUUUUUUGCCAAUCUGACUGCUGCUUGUAGCUGCUUAAUGGACGUCUCCUUAACUUUUUGUGCUCUAGCAUUCAGACCAAAUGAGAGCAGCACUUUCUCCACUGUCACCUCACUGGUUGCGUUGGACAGAAUGCCCUGUGCGUGGCGAAAGUUAGCCCCUGGAUAGCUGUCUAUCUGCAGGUCUGGAAUAGAAUGCAUUGGCAUCCUGGCCAGGUUGGAGUCACCAAUGAACAGCCAUUUUUUGGUCACAGUCAAGCUCCAGUCUGUCAUUUUCUUGUCCGUAUUAAUGUGUCUUUUUGGUUUGUAUGUUGUAGGUUUUGGGGGAGAGGGAGAGUUUCCCUCCAAAAACUCCAGAAGCUCCCUGUCCAGCUCCAACUGGGAGUUCUGUGUCCCGACCGGAUCUCUAUGAACCUGUGCGGUGACACAGAUCUUUUGUGGAGACAGAACAGGAGUUGUGUCCAGCUCCGUGGCCUGGUCUUCCUCUAUGUGUGAGUACUGUUUUGUAUUGUUUGUAGGUGUUUGUUUCUCAUUUUGUUUGUUUUGUUGUGGUUCUGUGUGUGGUGUGUGGACUGGAGUUUGAACGUGAACAGGACGCUUGGUCCUCUGUUCUUUGGGAGAAGCCCUAAACGGAUUAGUGGGGCUGAGAUGGAGUUCGCCCUCUGUGUUGUCUCCCAAAAUGUCACUCAGAACCUGAGCUGUUUUGCCCAGGCCUGGUUUAGUGACAGGUGUGGAGGUUAUUUCCCUGCUCGGUGUCAGCUCCUGUAUAAUAUCCUCCCAAAAAGCCUUUUGGGAGGGAGUGAACUCCGGAGUUUUGGACCUUGGAGCAGUCUGAGGUGUUUUGUUUUGUUGUGGUGGUGUUUUCUGUUGUUGUUGUUGUUGUGGUGGUGUUUUGGUUUGUUGUUGUUGUGCUUGUGCUGACUGUGUUUUUUGUUGUGGUGUCUGCUUUGUCUGUACAUGUUUUUCCACAGAUUGUGGAGCAGGCUCCUCGGUGGGAACCACAACCUCCUCCAGGAACUGCACCUGAGAUGGAUCCUCCUGACUCCGGCGUCUGUUCCUGGUUGAAGCUGAUGGUGAGUGUUGCAGAUCAUUUUGUUUUUCCUGUGCAGCAGCAGGCUCAGAAGGGGCUGCCUGUCUGUCCUGUGCUGCAUCAGGCUUCACACAUGAGGCUAUCAAAGCCUCCGCAUGGUCAAUAACCUCCUGUUUUAUGCGAGACAGAUUUUUCCGAGCCCAUCUCGUGGCCACAGCGAAGGCGCUCUUCCACUCUUGAGGUGGCUCUCUGGAAAGAUCUGCCUGCAUUUUCUCCAGCUCAGCAGUAUAGUGGUCCUGGAGAAUGAGCAGUGUAGUGUGGCCCCAGUUCUUAGCGUUCCCCAUGAUCAUAUCCAGGGUGUAAGUUGUUGGAUUUGCUGGUUUGAUCAUGGUUGUCAAAUUAUCCACCAUACGUGCUAUCAUUUUUGGAUCCUGUUUUUCAGGUCCUGGGGUCACAUUUUGAAGGUGGUGAACCAUUUUAAUAACAGAGUGUAAUUUUCUGACCAUUUGUCCGAAUUGGGGGUCAUGUACGGGUGCUUGCUGUGUACUUGGAGCAGGCAUGGGUCUGCUCUGCUGUGUGGUGUUUUGGUGGUUAUACGGGCGCCUGUAAGGAAAUCCCCCCUGGUUACGGGUGGGGUUUCCCUGGUGUAACACAGAUGCAUAGGACCCUGAUUGAGGUCCCCAAAAUCUGGGUCGAUAAUGAGGAGGAGGUCCAGGUCUGCGGGGACGUGAGGGAGCAGAGAACCUUGGGGGAGGCACAGGCCGGUUAGGAUUACGGGAAAAGGGGGACUGUCUCCUAGGAUAGGAGACAGGAGGUGCACGGUCCAUCCCCCUGUUCCCCGUCCCCCACGACCCCGUUUGGUACUGCUGAUUAUUAGUGCGGUACGGGCGUCGACCACGCCUUCUCCCGUAUCGCACUUCAGUCCAGUCUUGUUGCUCAUAAGUCAUGAUUGUUUUUAAUCUUUUUAAUUAUUUAUUACUAUUUAUUAAUGUACUGUAUUUAUUAAACUAUGUAUUUAUUUAUUUGUGUAUCUAUCUAUCUUUUUAUUAAUCUAAUGAAAUGAAAAAAUAUUUAAAACAAAAACUGUAUUUAAAAAAAUGAAUUGUUCUUUUAUUUUUUUAUGCUUUUUUUUGUUUUUUUCUGAAAUCAAAAUGAAAUAAAAGAAAGAAAACCAAAUAAAAUGCCUACGAGGAGGAAGAAAUAAAGAAAGGGUGUGAUAAAGAGUGCCCAGUCGCGACGUUUCGACCGCUGUGGGUCUUCUUCAGGCUAUGGGCACAAAAGAAAAUAUGUCUGGACUUGUUUUAGUGUGUGUAGGAGAUGUUUUCUCUUCAGGAGACAUAUGAGAAGUGAAGAAACAGAGCUCUGUGUGCGUGUGUUAUUUAUAGGGGCGUGGGAGAGAGCAGAGCCAGACGGGGGCCCCCCGGCCGUCUGGAUACCGUCUGGGUGCAGUUAACCCCAUAAAUGCCAACUAAAAUUAAAUGACCUGAAUGUUAAUGCCUAAUUAGAACUUUUUACCCUCUUUUUAAGUGAUUAAACUUUAUGAAUUGUAAUUGUAAUGCCCAAUUUAGAAAUUUCUACCCUGUUUUAGCUGAUUAAUUGUAAUUUUAAGGCCCAAUUUAGAAUGUUUUCCCCUCUUUUUAACAGAUUAAUUGAAAAUGAAUUGUAAUUUAAUGCCCCAUUGAAACUUUAGUCUUUUAGAUCCAUAAUUGCCAAUUAGUAUUUUAAUGAAGUUGAAUUUUAAAGAUAGUUGUAGUGUUUUUAGCCCUUAAUCCUUUUUAAAUGUUAGAUAAGAUAUGCAUUUUUAAUAUUUAUGGUUUAAAUGUCAAAUCAUGACUAUUUUUAGCGUAUUAUGAAGUUUAAUAAUUAAUAAUGAAUUAAAAAUAAUUAGUACAAAUAAAUUAUUAGUUUUUAAAGGUUAGGGUUAGGGGUCGGGGCUAGGGUUAGAGAGGUUAGGGUUAGGAUUAAGGCUAGGGUUAGGUUUAGGGCAAGAUCUAGAGGUUAGGGUUAGGGUUAGGGCCAGGGUUAGGGUUAGAUUUUAUUCCCGAGGGUUAGGGUUAGGGUUAGGGUUAGGGAUAGGGUUAGGGUUAGAUUUUGAUCCCCGAAGGUUAGGGUUAGGGUUAGGGAUAGGGUUAGGGUUAGAUGUUUGAUCCCCGAGGGUUAGGGUUAGGGUUAGGGUUAGAUUUUGAUCCCCGAAGGUUAGGGUUAGGGUUAGGAUUCUGGUUAGGCGUUAGAUUAGGGCUAGGGGUUAGUGGUUAGGGGUCAGGGGUUAGUGAUAAGGGUUUGGUGGUUAGUGAUUAGGGGUUGGUGGUUAGUGAUCAGGGGUCAGGGUUAGGCAUUAGAGCCCCUAAUCACAUGUGGAUGUUAGGGUUAGGGUUAGGGGUUAGGGUUAGGUUUACGGGAAAAGGGGGACUGUCUCCUAGAAUAGGAGACAGGAGGUGCACGGUCCAUCCCCCUGUUCCCCGUCCCCCACGACCCCGUUUGAUAUUGCUGAUCAGUGCGAUACGGGCGUCGACCACGCCUUCUCCCGUAUCGCACUUCAGUCCAUUGUUCUUGCUCAUAAGUCAUAAUUGUUUUUUAAUCUUUUUUAAUUAUUUAUUACUAUUUAUUAA